UACGGGGGGAGCAAGCGUUGUUCGGAUUUACUGGGCGUAAAGGGCGCGUAGGCGGUCGUGACAAGUCACUUGUGAAAUCUCCGGGCUUAACUCGGAACGGUCAAGUGAUACUGUCGGACUAGAGUACAGAAGGGGCAACUGGAAUUCUCGGUGUAGCGGUGAAAUGCGUAGAUAUCGAGAGGAACACCUGCGGCGAAGGCGGGUUGCUGGGCUGAUACUGACGCUGGGGCGCGAAAGCCAGGGGAGCGAACGGG
rnacentral:rRNA from 1 species